CUCUGUGUGUCUCUGUGUAUGUCUCUGUGUGUGGGUCUCUGUGUGUAUGUGUCUAUGUAUGUGUGUCUGUGUGUCUCUGUGUGUGUGUGUCUCUGUGUGUGUCUAUAUAUGUGUGUCUGUGUGUGUCUCUGUGUGUGUGUCUGUGUGUGUCUCUGUGUGUGUCUCUGUGUGUAUGUGUCUAUAUAUGUGUGUCUGUGUGUGUGUCUCUGUGUGUGUCUGUGUGUCUCUGUGUGUGCCUGUGUGUCUAUAUGUGUCU
rnacentral:lncRNA from 1 species